AUGGAGCCAUGGGAGAGAAGCGAGAGCGCCAGCGUCAAGAAGCCCAUGGCGCCGCCCAUGGACGCUCUCAGCGACGAUCUCCUCGGAGAAAUACUCCGCCGCCUCCCCGACAUGGCGUCACUCGCCAGCGCCGCCCUCGUCUGCAAGGGCUGGGGCGGCGUGGCCUCCGACCCGGUCAUCUUCCGCCGUUUCCUCUUCCUCCGGACGCCCCCCCUCGUCGGCGUCAUCCUCACCAAGCGCAACCGCGAGUGCGCCGCCCACCGCAACGAUCUCCGCUUCGUGGCGCCUCGUGUCUGCGACGGCGGCCUCCUCCUCCUCUCCUGCGGCCGCUAUUCGUCGAAGCUCGCCGUCUACGACCCUCUCCAGCGGACUGCCAUCUUCUUCGAGCCACCCGCGGGCUGGCACAUGGUCCGCUACGCCAUCAUCGCGGACGAGGUCGGCCCUUCGUUCCAGGUCAUCGCCAUAUGUCCCUGGCACAGCCACCGCUUCGCCGUCUUCUCCUCCGGCGCCGGCAAAUGGGUCGUGGUUAACUCGUGCCGCCACAGUUGGAUGUGCGUGGAUGACGGUAUGGCCGCUGGGCGGUUCGUGUACUGGCGGUCCAACACCAAAAGGAACACCAUGAAUGACAAUGAAGAGCAGAUAUAUGUGCUUGACACGAAAACCAUGGUGUGGUCGGUUAUAACCGCGCCGUUCCCGGCUGGCGAAUCGUACUGCGUGGCGGACAUGGCGGAGCACGGCGGGCUGUGCAUCGUGUCCAGCAAGGAGCAAUGCGUGCUGCUCUGGGUACGUGAUAUCAGUGGUGGAUGGGUGGUCAAGAAGGAGGUCUCCUUGCUGAAUCAGUUUGGGUACUUGAAGAGGAUUCGUCGCGACGAAUGGAUGAAGAGGCUGCGCAUCCUCUCAAUGAAAGCCGGCUAUGUCUACAUGGAGUUCUGGUCCAUAAGGAAGUCUGAAUCCUAUAUUCUUGUGCUCAAUCUGAACACCGUCAAGCUGCAACAAAUCUUUCGCAACAAUGCGGAUGAGCGCUACAGAGGUGCUGCUUUUCCAUUCUUUUUGCGGUUGCCACCACUGCCCGCCGCAGAUGAUGACAAGGAGCUUCAAGAUGCUUGA
rnacentral:rRNA from 1 species